UUCCUGCCGAGGACGAGGGUUCCGCAGCAGAAGCCAGGACUGUGUGACUGCACAGCGGGGACAAAGGGCCUGGGGCAGCCCUGCCCCAUGGGACACAACAGCCUUUGCACCGGGAUGGGCGCCCAGGUACGGGCCAGCCAAGGAAUGAGCUCCUCUGUGCCUGCUGGAGCCCCCACACCUACAGUGGGGGGAGGCAGGGCAGAGAAGCCAGCUGCCCACCCUGCAAAACCCACCCCUCGAGGCUCCAACAGCGCCGGCCUCAGGCCACUCAGCCACUUCUGACCCCCAGGUCUCGCAUUCCCUUCCCCACAGGUCUUCAGGUCCCUGGCCUCGGCCAGGCAUGGGGAAGGGGAUGUGAGCUCUGAGGGCCAGAUAACUGCCCCCUUUUUCUUCAGUUAUUUUCCCUGUGGUAAAAUACACAUAAAAUAAAUUUACCAUCUUAA
rnacentral:antisense_RNA from 1 species